rnacentral:rRNA from 1 species
GAUUGAACGCUGGCGGCAGGCCUAACCCAUGCAAAUCGAACGGUAACAGAAAGCAGCUUGCUGCUUUGCUGACGAGUGGCGGACGGGUGAGUAAUGUCUGGGAAACUGCCUGAUGGAGGGGGAUAACUACUGGAAACGGUAGCUAAUACCGCAUAACGUCGCAAGACCAAAGAGGGGGACCUUCGGGCCUCUUGCCAUCGGAUGUGCCCAGAUGGGAUUAGCUUGUUGGUGGGGUAACGGCUCACCAAGGCGACGAUCCCUAGCUGGUCUGAGAGGAUGACCAGCCACACUGGAACUGAGACACGGUCCAGACUCCUACGGGAGGCAGCAGUGGGGAAUAUUGCACAAUGGGCGCAAGCCUGAUGCAGCCAUGCCGCGUGUAUGAAGAAGGCCUUCGGGUUGUAAAGUACUUUCAGCGGGGAGGAAGGGAGUAAAGUUAAUACCUUUGCUCAUUGACGUUACCCGCAGAAGAAGCACCGGCUAACUCCGUG